ACAAAAAAAAAAUAAGGAGCUUGGGUGAUUAAGGGUUUUCAGGAAAAUCAAGGAGAGAGGAAUGGGCAGCGCCGUAGUCGAGAAGACUAAAGAAGAGCUCAAGAGAGAGAUCGAAGAACUCCAUCGCCAGCAAUGGGAGGUCCUUAUUCUCUCUCUUUCUUUCUGUCUCUCUCUAUAUAUGUAUAUAUUUGCAGAAACACAUAAUUCGCCAAGUGUUUGAUUAUUUGUCUGAUUGACAAAUUUCAGAGCGGCUUCGUGAUCCUAGGGGUCUUCCCCGUGGUGGUAAGUAGAGGGAGACAAACAUCAUAGCAAAUGUGAAUAGCAUUUGAAAGUUAAAACCAAUCCUAUUAUUUGGUAUUCAAAAUAAAGUAGCUUUUCUAAACUUGCCAAAAAAUUCAAGUAUCUUUUCCUUUUGUGCAAAACACUUUAUUAACACCCUUUUUUUAAUGUUUUUUGUGCAUCCUCAAAAUCUCCGUCUUUCUGAACAAGUAGCACCUUUGCACCAUUUUUUAUGCACUAGAAAAUUUAGGAAAAUAAAAUUUUCUUCUAAAUGGUAUUUUCUUUAAUUUUUCAGUAGUUUAACAAGUUCACAAGGCGUGAUUUCCAUUUGACUAGUUUCAGUUGAUUUGGUUGUAAUUCGACAAUCUUCUCUAACUUGAAGGGAGAUUGCAGGCAUUCUAUUUGAGAACAAGAAGUCUUGAACUGUAGUUGAAAGCAUUUAAGUAGAUUAAAAUAGAAGUUACUGUUGUAAAUUCUAUAAUUGCACAUAAUUUUACUUUUUCACUCAUUAAUUAAAUUUAGGUUCCGAGCAGAGGGG
rnacentral:lncRNA from 1 species